GCCUAAAUAUUCAAAGACUCCCAUGACAUAAUGACCCUGUUUGGGUAAAUCACCUGUACAUUUACAAAACAAGCCACUAAAUAAGCCUUUGGUGGCGACCAAAACAAUCAGAGAAGCUAAAUGUCCUACAUAAAAAAAGUGGGCGUCUCCAUUGGCUUGCAACAUCAAAAACAAGGCCGGAUCCUAAUCAAUGCCAAAUUAUCUGCAACAUGUUCAAUUAAGAUUCAAAGUUCAAUUGUUCCAUUAUGCUAACUGACUUCCUCGCAUACUAUAACAAAAAC
rnacentral:lncRNA from 1 species